AUUGAACGCUGGCGGAAUGCUUUACACAUGCAAGUCGAGCGGCAGCACGGGGGCAACCCUGGUGGCGAGCGGCGAACGGGUGAGUAAUACAUCGGAACAUGCCCAGUCGUGGGGGAUAACACUUCGAAAGAAGUGCUAAUACCGCAUACGUCCUGAGGGAGAAAGCGGGGGAUCUUCGGACCUCGCGCGAUUGGAGUGGCCGAUGUCAGAUUAGCUAGUUGGUGGGGUAAAGGCCUACCAAGUCAACGAUCUGUAGCUGGUCUGAGAGGAUGAUCAGGCCGACUGGGACUGAGACACGGCCCAGACUCCUAAGGGAGGCAGUAGUGGGGUAUUUUGGACUAUGGGGGCAACCCUGAACCACUCAUUCCGCGUGAGUGAAGAAGGCCUUCGGGUUGUAAAGCUCUUUCGGCAGGAACGAAACGGCGAGCUCUAACAUAGCUUGCUAAUGACGGUACCUGAAGAAGAAGCACCGGCUAACUAUGUGCCAGCCGCCGCAGUAAAAC
rnacentral:rRNA from 1 species